GUGUCAGCAGCCGCGGUAAUACAGAGGGUGCAAGCGUUAAUCGGAAUUACUGGGCGUAAAGCGCGCGUAGGUGGUUAUUUAAGUCAGAUGUGAAAGCCCCGGGCUUAACCUGGGAACUGCAUCUGAUACUGGAUAACUAGAGUAGGUGAGAGGGGAGUAGAAUUCCAGGUGUAGCGGUGAAAUGCGUAGAGAUCUGGAGGAAUACCGAUGGCGAAGGCAGCUCCCUGGCAUCAUACCGACACUGAGGUGCGAAAGCGUGGGUAGCAAACAGGAUUAGAUACCCUCGUAGUCC
rnacentral:rRNA from 1 species